rnacentral:rRNA from 1 species
AGUAACGCGUGAGCAAUCUGCCUUUGGAUGGGGGAUAACAGCCGGAAACGGCUGCUAAUACCGCAUAAUGCAACGGGAUCGCAUGGUUCUGUUGCCAAAGAUUUAUUGUCCAAAGAUGAGCUCGCGUCUGAUUAGCCAGUUGGCGGGGUAACGGCCCACCAAAGCGACGAUCAGUAGCCGGACUGAGAGGUUGAACGGCCACAUUGGGACUGAGACACGGCCCAGACUCCUACGGAAGGCAGCAG